rnacentral:rRNA from 1 species
CCUACGGGUGGCAGCAGUGGGGAAUAUUGGACAAUGGGCGAAAGCCUGAUCCAGCCAUGCCGCGUGUGUGAAGAAGGCCUUCGGGUUGUAAAGCACUUUCAGUGGGGAAGAAAGCCUUGGGGCUAAUACCCUCGAGGAAGGACAUCACCCACAGAAGAAGCACCGGCUAACUCCGUGCCAGCAGCCGCGGUAAUACGGAGGGUGCGAGCGUUAAUCGGAAUUACUGGGCGUAAAGCGCGCGUAGGCGGUCUGAUAAGCCGGUUGUGAAAGCCCCGGGCUCAACCUGGGAACGGCAUCCGGAACUGUCAGGGUAGAGUGCAGGAGAGGAAGGUAGAAUUCCCGGUGGAGCGGUGAAAUGCGGAGAGAUCGGGAGGAAUACCAGUGGCGAAGGCGGCCUUCUGGACUGGCACUGACGCUGAGGUGCGAAAGCGUGGGUAGCAAACAGGAUUAGAUACCCUAGUAGUC